CACCCUAAACUAGGAGAGCAUUGUGUAGCCACUUUUGUUGGCUACGUUAUGUUUGGCCUCUGCUGAUCGAGCUUGUCACCUGAAUUCUACUACCCUUGCUUUUUGCGCACCCAUUGUUUCCUCGGUAGGCUUGCCUGCCAGUAGGACCAUUUAAAACCCUUUGUGAUUGCAAUCAGCGUCAGAAACAACGUAAUUGUUACAACUUUCAACAACGGAUCUCUUGGUUCUGGCAUCGAUGAAGAACGCAGCGAAAUGCGAUAAGUAGUGUGAAUUGCAGAAUUCAGUGAAUCAUCGAAUCUUUGAACGCACAUUGCGCCCCUUGGUAUUCCAUGGGGCAUGCCUGUUCGAGCGUCAUUUGUACCCUCCAGCCCUGCUGGGUGUUGGGCGUUUUGUUCCGCUGCGCGCGUGAACUCGCCUCAAAUGCAUUGGCAGCCCGCCGUCCUGUGUGGGAGCGCAGCACAUUUUGCGCUCUCCACUGCUGACGGUGGCAUCCACAAGUCUACCAUUUUACGCUUGACCUCGGAUCAGGUAGGGAUACCCGCUGAACUUAAGCAUAUCAAUAAGCGGAGGAAAUCUUGGUCAUUUAGAGGAAGUAAGUCACGGGCAUAUCAAUAAGCGGAGGAA
rnacentral:rRNA from 1 species